AAUAAAACAGUUUUAUUGCAUACAAUUAGUUUUAAAACAAGAAUGGUAGCUCACUUCCCAUGUUUACAUACAUAUAGAGGAUACUGUAGUAUGAUAAGUAGUAUAUUAUACUAGGUUGUAUUGACUUCAUAAGGGGUCAAGGUUAUUUAUAUAAUACUUGUGGAUAUAUAUUGUCUAGUAUGGGUCAAGGUCACAUGUCUACAAUUGUGUGUGGUGACUAUAUAAUCAGGUAUGGGUCAAGGUCACAUGUCUACAAUAGUGUGUAACUGUAUUGUCAGGUAUAGGUCACAUGUCUACAAUUGUGUGUGGUGACUGUAUUGUCAGGUAUAGGUCACAUGUCUACAAUUGUGUGUGGUGACUGUAUUGCCAGGUAUUGGUCAAGGUCACAUCUCUACCAUAGUUUGGUGACUAUAUUGUCAGGUAUAGGUUAAGGUCACAUCUCUUCAUGGUGUGUGGUGGCUAAACUGUCAGUUAUAAGUCAAGGUCACAUUUCUACAAUAGUGUGUGGUGACUGUAUUACCAGGUAUUGGUCAAGGUCACAUGUCUACAAUAGUGUGUGGUUACUAUAUUGUCAGGUAUAGGUCAAGAUCACAUGCCUACAAUAGUGUGUGGUGACUGUAUUGCCAGGUAUUGGUCAAGGUCACAUGUCUACAAUAGUGUGUGGGUACUAUAUUGUCAGGUAUAGGUCAAGAUCACAUGUCUAGUAUGGUGUGUGGUGACUGUAUAGUCAGGUAUGGGUCAAGGUCACAUGUCUACAAAAGUGUGUGUUGGCUAUAUUUGAUGACUAUGAGUCAAAGAUACAUAUGAACUCUUUUGAGUCUUUCUAAAUUACUACUGAUUUGAUACUACAACAACGUAUGAUGCACUGCGACAAUGUGAUCUGUAGGCAAGGCAGUAUUUCUGUUGCUGGAGCAAGGAAUAUAGCUGAGAGUUU